GAUCAUGGCUCAGGACGAACGCUGGCGGCGUGCCUAACACAUGCAAGUCGAACGAGAAUCGGAGGAACGGAGAUUCGUCGAAGGGAAGCCGAGGACAGUGGCGAACGGGUGAGUAACGCGUGAGGAACCUGCCUUUCAGAGGGGGACAACAGCUGGAAACGGCUGCUAAUACCGCAUGAUGCAAUUGAACCGCAUGAUUUGAUUGCCAAAGAUUUAUCG
rnacentral:rRNA from 1 species